rnacentral:rRNA from 1 species
GGCCUUGCACUCUGGUGCUUGGUCAGAACCGCAUAAGCAGGUGAAACUUCUUAGAGGAACUGGCGUCCGAUAAGGCGCACGAGAAAGAGCAAUAACAGGUCUGUGAUGCCCUAAGAUGUCCGGGGCCGCACGCGUGCUACAAUGACGAUGCUACUGAGCAUGAUUAACUUGUCCGAAAGGGCUGGUGAAACUGUUCAAUCAUCGUCGUGACUGGGAUUGGGGUUUGCAAUUGUCCCCCAUGAACCAGGAAUUCCUAGUAAGCACAAGUCAUAAGCUUGUGCUGAUUACGUCCCUGCCCUUUGUACACACCGCCCGUCGCUACUACCGAUUGAAUGGUUUAGCAAGGACAUUGGAUUGAACCUCUGCGGCCUUGCUGCUUGGGUUUAAGAAGAUGUCCGAACUUGAUCAUUUAGAGGAAGUAAAAGUCGUAACAAGGUUUCCGUAGGUGAACCUGCGGAAGGAUCAUUA